ACGAUCUUAAGAUAGUGGAUUUCCUCCAUUGAUCACUUAUGAUGGCGGAAAUCCGCCAUCUAAAGACCACCAUCCUAGGUCUGUUUUCCAGAGUUGAACUAAGGAAUCGUCGAUUUGGGCUACCAAAUCGCCGAUUUGAGUGGUAAAUCGCCGAGUUGAGGCCGAGAUCGUCAGUACCUGGCAAACUGCCGAUCUUGUUCCUUUGAACUUGUCGACCCUGCCACUAAAUCCUCGAUUCUCCCCCCAAAUCGCCGACUUCCCGACCGUUACUCGGCGCCAGCUCGCGUCCUUAAUGACACGCCAUUAAUGUCGGGCAUGAUCACCGUCGCGGAUUGCACCCAGAUGGCCCUAUAAAAGGGCCGGGGUCCUCCUGGCACCAUCCAAAGCAUCAGUUUCAUCCAUUCUAGAGCAGGAAAUAUGGAGCAAAUCGCCGAUUAUACACAUCUAAUCAUCGAUUUCUCCCGGAAGAC
rnacentral:lncRNA from 1 species